rfam:Vitis vinifera, whole genome shotgun sequence of line PN40024, unoriented chromosome 8, chr8
UGAGCAGGGAUUGUGUGUAUCAGUGCUGUGCUAUUGUCAGUGCACUCUUUUUGCUGAAAGAGUUCUUUGCAAGACUGAUUUGGAAAACAUGGGUAGUUGCACUUCACACCAACUUUUGAAAUGCCAACCGUUGUCUAAGCCAAAAUA